rnacentral:rRNA from 1 species
GACGAACCGUGCGAACGUUGUUCGGAAUCACUGGGCUUAAAGGGCGCGUAGGCGGCUUCGCAAGUCCGGGGUGAAAGCCCCCAGCUCAACUGGGGAAGUGCCUUGGAUACUGCGGGGCUCGAGCGAGGCAGGGGUCGUGGGAACUUCCGGUGGAGCGGUUAAAUGCGUUGAUAUCGGAAGGAACGCCGGUGGCGAAAGCGGGUUGCUGGGCUGACACUAACGCUGAGGCGCGAAAGCCAGGGGAGCGAACGGG